AAUUUUGUUUAGUCUUUUCCUAAUAUAUCCUUCUACACUCAUAUUGCCCCAUUAAAAAUUAAAAAAUUCACGUUACUAAAUUAUUAUUGAAACUAAUGAAUUUUAUUUUUAAUGCGUAUUAAGUAGGGGCAUAUGGUAAACAAAUAAAUAAACUGUUAUUUCAAAAUAGAAAGUGGCCUAUAAUUUGUAAAAAUAAAAAAGUAAAGUCUGUUUUUAUGGGAUAGAGGGAGUAUAUGCUUUUGAAAUGUGAUUAUUAUUCUUGCAAUUGUGGAUUUAAAUUAUUGCAAAAUGUUGAUUUAAAUUGUUGCAAUUGUAAGUUUGAUGUUUGACUUGAGCUGAGUUUGAUGUUUGAUGAAGGAGAUGAAAAUGUGAGGAUGAAAAGUUGGGUUACUCUGCUGAAUGAGAUGGCGGAAAAAGAACUGUUCAACUGAACUGAGCCAAAUUAUUUUGGUUUGGUUCGAUUCGGUUAUGGCUAUAUGUUCUAAUAAUUUGAGACUUCAGUUUUUCGAUUAACCGAAUGCUCAACCCUAACUUGAUGAGUUUGCAAAUCUUAUGAUUUCUUCUCUAUAAGGUUCACCUGAAUAUUUUAUAAGGAUUGCCUGAUCAGCUUCUUGAUUUGGCAAAUCUUGGACUUUCUUCUCUUAGGACCUAAUUAACAAUAGGUUGCUUUUCCUAUGAAGUUGAUUGGCAUAUAUUGGGUUUCACAAAAUCUCUCAAUUUAAAUUGAACUUGGUAACCAUAUCUUAUGUAGUCUGAAUGGAUCAGCUUAUGAAACAUGAAUUGGGCUACAUAUCAAAAGAAAGUGAUCAUGGGUUGUUUUUGAAACGGAACUGAAUUGUAGGGGUGGCAGCUGCUGAACAUUUAAUAUAGUAUCUGCUUGCUAGGAUUGACAAGUACAAUCUUGUCUUUAUACAUUUUAAAGCUUUAUAGUUUCUAGUUAGUAUAGCAUGGGUCUGCUCUUUAAAUUUAUAUAACUUAUGGGCUAAGGGGUGUGAGAUUUAGACUAAAAGCUGGACUGUGUCUGGCCAAGGUCAACUCAUUGAUUUUGCAAACAAUUAAUCUUAGGAUGGGCUUGAACUUUUGUAAAUCCUAUCCCAGCAAAUUCAACCCUCUGAUGUUGCUAAACUAUGACUUCCAUUAGGCUAAUGGAGUUGCUGAAAAAUGUCAUUUCCCAACUAGGAGAGGUUGAAUGAGGAGGCAUUUUCAUUGGUCUUGGAUUGUUUGCCCGGAAGAAUAGGUAUGGAUAUUUUAAUUCACUUUUCUUGCGCGUGGUAAAUACUCCGGUGACUAAAUGAGGUUCAGGACAGCUUGGAUAGUUUCAUAAGUUUACUUCUGGAAGGUUUUAAACCUGGUUGAAAAUAUCUUGGAUCAUGUAUGAAGUUUACCAGUUCAACCUGUGUUGCUCAGACUUGUGUACAAGUGUCAGGUGCAUGACCAUGACGGACAUUAGUACAUACAUUCAUUUCUUUCAUAUUCUUCCUUUUAUUUGGAGAAUCAUGCUUAAGUAACCUUGUCAAUUCUAGGUAUGUGGCAGGGUCCUUAGGUAUUGAAAAGAGUCAGAGCAACAGAGGUUCUGACAGAUUCAGGUUGAGUAGGCUGAUGCUGGUUGAUAUGUAAGAUUUAAGAAAUAUGUCCAUCUCCUAUAUCAUUUGAAGAAGGAUGACUUUUGUUUCAUAGCAUGGGCAAGAUCAAUUCUCGUGCUUUAGCAAAUUAGUUUCCAAUUUUCAUUUACUUGUUUUUUGUUUAAGAUAAAUACUAUUGAUCUUGGCAAGGAAUUUUUGGCAGGCCUAAGUUUAUGCACAAGUUGCAAUUGUGACAGUUAAAAACUUUUUGACCAUGUGUUGGGGAUUAGAACUGUGUUUCGUAAUGUUAAAGGGACUAGCGUCAUCAACUAAGAAGAGAACUGAUGGUCAGGCAUCAGAUCUUAUCAUAAAUUAGAGUUUACUGUGAAUUAUGUUGAGCCAAGAGAUUGCCUGUAUUUUGGCAUAACAUGCAGAGCAAGGUUCAGAGAAGGUGGUUUGUCUUUCUCCCAUUUGCUGUUGGAAUGAGUUACAAUUUGAUGAU
rnacentral:misc_RNA from 1 species